ACCAGGGUUCCACAAACCUUCUGUUUUCACAUUCUCUCUACCACCUCCUUUAUUCUAGCCUGGGUGUUUAAAAGCAAUCAUUGUCAGAAUAUGCCAUUUAAUCUGUUUUCAUUUUUUAUUGUAAAAAGAGGAUGCAAGGGCUAGCAGUAAUAUUGUAGAUGAAUAAUGAAAGAAUUCCUCACAGCUGUUCAGGGAUAUAUAUUUUUCCUGCAAUGGAGCGAGACGGAUUCCCAUCGCAGCUCGGAGACUUGUUCCAUGAAGCCCCUCAUCUGUCAUGUUCUGAGGGGAAGGGGAAGGUGGAGAAAUGUCAUUAUGGAUGUAACUGGGCUCAGAAGUGACUGGUCAAGGUUGACACUGCAGUCCUGACGGAGCUGUUUAUGGAAAUUUUCCUGGGAGGCACUGCUGGCUGGUGGGGUGGGCAGCUCCAAACAGCCCCCACUCUGUGGCUGAUUCCUAAUUCCUUUCCAAUCAGCCUGCCUUGAAGCUGGAAUAAGUCCCUCCAAGGUAGCUACCCAAGAAAAAUACCCUUGAUCUGUUCCAAACUAGAAAGACAGGAAAUCAAAACAGAUCAUUCAGUUUAGGGGAAGCCAGCUGCCAUGUUGUGAGGACCCUCAAGCAGCCCUAUGGAGAGUCCCAGGUGGCAAGGAACUCAAGCCUCCUGCCAACAGCCUGUGAGUGAGCCACCAUGGGAGUGGGCCCUCCAGCCCUAGUCAAACCUUCAAAUGACUACAAUCCCAGAAAAUGUUUUGACUUCAACCUCAUGAAAGACCAUGAGACACAACUGCCCAGGCAGAAUCACCUGAAGAGAUACCAUUUGAGUUCUGGGAGAGCUGCCUGCUGACUUCCAGAAGAUUUAUUCCUCACAUUAAUGACUGUUAGCAUAGCAGAGUGAAAUGUGCUUGAGAAGCUGUGAAAAUAGUAAUGAUCAUGGUGGUGAUCAAGGCUGAUAGGAAGAUGCUCUUGGGGAGAGUUGAAGCUUUGAUUUAUAGCUUUAGUACCAAGGAAUCACAAGCAUCUCUGUUGCAAGCCACACUGGCACCUGAUACUAAACCAUGGGGCGGUGGGGUCUUGCAUCUAGAAGGUUGCAAGAUGAGUAAGUGUUUGGAGGGGCACAGAUGCCAAGGAGAAUGUAUUAUACAUUCUAUGGUGGGGCGAUAAUGCAGUGGGGUGGGAGAAUAACAUGGUCUCAGUUCCUAGAGAAAGAAAGCCAGCUUUGUGGAGCAGAGGAGAAGAUGUGCAUAAUAGUUGGCCAUUGGGGCACCUGGGUGGCUCAGUUGGUUAAGCAUCUAUUUUUGGUUCAGGUUAUGAUUCCAGAGGAGUCCCACACUGGGUUCCUUGCUCAGUGGUGAGCCUGCUUCUCCCUGUCCCUCUGAUGUUCCCCCUACUUGUACGUGUGUUCU